rnacentral:rRNA from 1 species
CGAAGCAGUUUCAAUGAAGUUUUCGGAUGGAAUUGGAAUUGACUUAGCGGCGGACGGGUGAGUAACGCGUGGGUAACCUGCCUUACACUGGGGGAUAACAGUUAGAAAUGACUGCUAAUACCGCAUAAGCGCACAGGGCCGCAUGGUCUGGUGUGAAAAACUCCGGUGGUGUAAGAUGGACCCGCGUCUGAUUAGCCAGUUGGCGGGGUAACGGCCCACCAAAGCGACGAUCAGUAGCCGACCUGAGAGGGUGACCGGCCACAUUGGGACUGAGACACGGCCCAAACUCCUACGGGAGGCAGCAGUGGGGAAUAUUGGACAAUGGGCGAAAGCCUGAUCCAGCGACGCCGCGUGAGUGAAGAAGUAUUUCGGUAUGUAAAGCUCUAUCAGCAGGGAAGAAAAUGACGGUACCUGACUAAGAAGCCCCGGCUAACUACGUGCCAGCAGCCGCGGUAAUACGUAGGGGGCAAGCGUUAUCCGGAUUUACUGGGUGUAAAGGGAGCGUAGACGGUUAAGCAAGUCUGAAGUGAAAGCCCGGGGCUCAACCCCGGUACUGCUUUGGAAACUGUUUGACUUGAGUGCAGGAGAGGUAAGUGGAAUUCCUAGUGUAGCGGUGAAAUGCGUAGAUAUUAGGAGGAACACCAGUGGCGAAGGCGGCUUACUGG